rnacentral:rRNA from 1 species
AUUGAACGCUGGCGGCAUACCUUACACAUGCAAGUCGAACGGUAACAGGUCUUCGGAUGCUGACGAGUGGCGAACGGGUGAGUAAUACAUCGGAACGUGCCCAGACGUGGGGGAUAACGAGGCGAAAGCUUUGCUAAUACCGCAUACGAUCUAAGGAUGAAAGCAGGGGACCGCAAGGCCUUGUUCGUUUGGAGCGGCCGAUGGCAGAUUAGGUAGUUGGUGGGAUAAAAGCUUACCAAGCCGACGAUCUGUAGCUGGUCUGAGAGGACGACCAGCCACACUGGGACUGAGACACGGCCCAGACUCCUACGGGAGGCAGCAGUGGGGAAUUUUGGACAAUGGGCGAAAGCCUGAUCCAGCAAUGCCGCGUGCAGGAUGAAGGCCUUCGGGUUGUAAACUGCUUUUGUACGGAACGAAAAGGCUCUGGCUAAUACCUGGGGCACAUGACGGUACCGUAAGAAUAAGCACCGGCUAACUACGUG